GGUUAAGCGACUAAGCGUACACGGUGGAUGCCCUGGCAGUCAGAGGCGAUGAAGGACGUGCUAAUCUGCGAAAAGCGUCGGUAAGGUGAUAUGAACCGUUAUAACCGGCGAUGUCCGAAUGGGGAAACCCAGUGUGAUUCGUCACACUAUCGUUAACUGAAUACAUAGGUUAACGAGGCGAACCGGGGGAACUGAAACAUCUAAGUACCCCGAGGAAAAGAAAUCAACCGAGAUUCCCCCAGUAGCGGCGAGCGAACGGGGAGCAGCCCAGAGUCUGAAUCAGCUUGUGUGUUAGUGGAACGGUCUGGAAAGUCCGACGGUACAGGGUGAUAGUCCCGUACACCAAAAUGCACAGGCUGUGAACUCGAAGAGUAGGGCGGGACACGUGGUAUCCUGUCUGAAUAUGGGGGGACCAUCCUCCAAGGCUAAAUACUCCUGACUGACCGAUAGUGAACCAGUACCGUGAGGGAAAGGCGAAAAGAACCCCGGCGAGGGGAGUGAAAAAGAACCUGAAACCGUGUACGUACAAGCAGUGGGAGCACCUUCGGGUGUGACUGCGUACCUUUUGUAUAAUGGGUCAGCGACUUAUAUUCUGUAGCAAGGUUAACCGUAUAGGGGAGCCGCAGGGAAACCGAGUCUUAACUGGGCGUUAAGUUGCAGGGUAUAGACCCGAAACCCGGUGAUCUAGCCAUGGGCAGGUUGAAGGUUGGGUAACACUAACUGGAGGACCGAACCGACUAAUGUUGAAAAAUUAGCGGAUGACUUGUGGCUGGGGGUGAAAGGCCAAUCAAACCGGGAGAUAGCUGGUUCUCCCCGAAAGCUAUUUAGGUAGCGCCUCGUGAAUUCAUCUUCGGGGGUAGAGCACUGUUUCGGCUAGGGGGUCAUCCCGACUUACCAACCCGAUGCAAACUACGAAUACCGAAGAAUGUUAUCACGGGAGACACACGGCGGGUGCUAACGUCCGUCGUGAAGAGGGAAACAACCCAGACCGCCAGCUAAGGUCCCAAAGUCAUGGUUAAGUGGGAAACGAUGUGGGAAGGCACAGACAGCCAGGAUGUUGGCUUAGAAGCAGCCAUCAUUUAAAGAAAGCGUAAUAGCUCACUGGUCGAGUCGGCCUGCGCGGAAGAUGUAACGGGGCUAAACCAUGCACCGAAGCUGCGGCAGCGACACUAUGUGUUGUUGGGUAGGGGAGCGUUCUGUAAGCCUGCGAAGGUGACCUGUGAGGGUUGCUGGAGGUAUCAGAAGUGCGAAUGCUGACAUAAGUAACGAUAAAGCGGGUGAAAAGCCCGCUCGCCGGAAGACCAAGGGUUCCUGUCCAACGUUAAUCGGGGCAGGGUGAGUCGACCCCUAAGGCGAGGCCGAAAGGCGUAGUCGAUGGGAAACAGGUUAAUAUUCCUGUACUUGGUGUUACUGCGAAGGGGGGACGGAGAAGGCUAUGUUAGCCGGGCGACGGUUGUCCCGGUUUAAGCAUGUAGGCUGGUUGUCCAGGCAAAUCCGGAUAAUCAAGGCUGAGGUGUGAUGACGAGGCACUACGGUGCUGAAGUAACAAAUGCCCUGCUUCCAGGAAAAGCCUCUAAGCAUCAGGUAACAUCAAAUCGUACCCCAAACCGACACAGGUGGUCAGGUAGAGAAUACCAAGGCGCUUGAGAGAACUCGGGUGAAGGAACUAGGCAAAAUGGUGCCGUAACUUCGGGAGAAGGCACGCUGGUGUGUAGGUGAAGUCCCUGCGGAUGGAGCUGAGACCAGUCGAAGAUACCAGCUGGCUGCAACUGUUUAUUAAAAACACAGCACUGUGCAAACACGAAAGUGGACGUAUACGGUGUGACGCCUGCCCGGUGCCGGAAGGUUAAUUGAUGGGGUUAUCCGUAAGGAGAAGCUCUUGAUCGAAGCCCCGGUAAACGGCGGCCGUAACUAUAACGGUCCUAAGGUAGCGAAAUUCCUUGUCGGGUAAGUUCCGACCUGCACGAAUGGCGUAAUGAUGGCCAGGCUGUCUCCACCCGAGACUCAGUGAAAUUGAACUCGCUGUGAAGAUGCAGUGUACCCGCGGCAAGACGGAAAGACCCCGUGAACCUUUACUAUAGCUUGACACUGAACAUUGAGCCUUGAUGUGUAGGAUAGGUGGGAGGCUUUGAAGCGUGGACGCCAGUCUGCGUGGAGCCAACCUUGAAAUACCACCCUUUAAUGUUUGAUGUUCUAACGUUGGCCCCUUACCGGGGUUGCGGACAGUGUCUGGUGGGUAGUUUGACUGGGGCGGUCUCCUCCCAAAGCGUAACGGAGGAGCACGAAGGUUAGCUAAUCCUGGUCGGACAUCAGGAGGUUAGUGCAAUGGCAUAAGCUAGCUUGACUGCGAGCGUGACGGCGCGAGCAGGUGCGAAAGCAGGUCAUAGUGAUCCGGUGGUUCUGAAUGGAAGGGCCAUCGCUCAACGGAUAAAAGGUACUCCGGGGAUAACAGGCUGAUACCGCCCAAGAGUUCAUAUCGACGGCGGUGUUUGGCACCUCGAUGUCGGCUCAUCACAUCCUGGGGCUGAAGUAGGUCCCAAGGGUAUGGCUGUUCGCCAUUUAAAGUGGUACGCGAGCUGGGUUUAGAACGUCGUGAGACAGUUCGGUCCCUAUCUGCCGUGGGCGCUGGAGAAUUGAGGGGGGCUGCUCCUAGUACGAGAGGACCGGAGUGGACGCAUCACUGGUGUUCGGGUUGUCAUGCCAAUGGCACUGCCCGGUAGCUAAAUGCGGAAGAGAUAAGUGCUGAAAGCAUCUAAGCACGAAACUUGCCCCGAGAUGAGUUCUCCCUGAGACUUUAAGUCUCCUGAAGGAACGUUAAAGACGAUGACGUUGAUAGGCCGGGUGUGUAAGCGCAGCGAUGCGUUGAGCUAACCGGUACUAAUGAACCGUGAGGCUUAACCUU
rnacentral:rRNA from 1 species